rnacentral:rRNA from 1 species
UACGUAGGGUGCGAGCGUUAAUCGGAAUUACUGGGCGUAAAGGGUGCGUAGGCGGUUUCUCAAGUCCGCUGUGAAAUCCCCGGGCUCAACCUGGGAAUGGCAGUGGAAACUAGGAGACUUGAAUCUGGCAGAGGGGGGUGGAAUUCCACGUGUAGCAGUGAAAUGCGUAGAGAUGUGGAGGAACACCGAUGGCGAAGGCAGCCCCCUGGGCUGAGAUUGACGCUCAGGCACGAAAGCGUGGGGAGCAAACAGG